GACGAACGCUGGCGGCGUGCCUAAUACAUGCAAGUCGAGCGGACGGAUGGGAGCUUGCUCCCAGACCGUCAGCGGCGGACGGGUGAGUAACACGUGGGCAACCUGCCUGUAAGACUGGGAUAACUCCGGGAAACCGGGGCUAAUACCGGAUAACUCUUUCCCUCACAUGAGGGAAAGCUGAAAGAUGGCAUCUCGCUAUCACUUACAGAUGGGCCCGCGGCGCAUUAGCUAGUUGGUGAGGUAACGGCUCACCAAGGCGACGAUGCGUAGCCGACCUGAGAGGGUGAUCGGCCACACGGGGACUGAGACACGGCCCAGACUCCUACGGGAGGCAGCAGUAGGGAAUCUUCCGCAAAGGACGAAAGUCUGACGGAGCAACGCCGCGUGAGUGAUGAAGGUGUUCGGAUCGUAAAACUCUGUUGUCAGGGAAGAACAAGUACCGGAGUAACUGCCGGUACCUUGACGGUACCUGACCAGAAAGCCACGGCUAACUACGUG
rnacentral:rRNA from 1 species